GAAUGUGCAGGCAGUCUGCCUACCACAUCUGUAACCCCUCUGAUCGCCAGGGUUGAUUUGAUUGAUGUGGCUGGCUAGGCAAGCGUUCUCUUCCUCCCUCGCUGCUCCAUGCAUGUCCCUGCUGAAGCUGUGAUCUUGUUCCAAGAGGAAAAUGUUCCCUGGUAGAGAAGGAGAAGUCUUUGAUCAAGAAUAUAUGAGCCGCAGCUCUCUCCUGCCACAACCUCCAAAGAAAAUCUUACAGACUGAAGAGACGGCUCAGUAGUUAAGAGUUUAUGCUGACUUUCCAGUGGAGCCGGUUCAAUU
rnacentral:snRNA from 1 species